AUUUAUAUAGUUUAAAAUUUAAAACAUUAUAUUUUCAAUAUAACAAUAAAAAAUUAUUUUUUAUAAAUA
rnacentral:tRNA from 1 species